UGACAUUGACCAUCCCAGAGCUUUUCUUGAGGCCUUAUCAGGUUAGAUGGGAUGUCACCGUGUUCGAGGUCAUUAAUCCAGAUUUCCCCCUGUACAUAAAGCACGAAGACCUCUCCGAAAUCGCACACGGUGGUCAAUGUCUCAGCAUAUCAGUGUUACAGUUGUGGAUUCUGUAAGUCUUUAUAUAAAAGGCUUUUAUUUACCUAAGUUAUGGCUUUCAAUUCAUAAAUAUUUAACUUUGACCUAACAUAAACAUGCAUCUCACUGAAACAUGUAUGCGAGCGGGGAAUUAUGAUAUCUAUGGAUUCCUCGAGCCUCAGUCCAUUCAGAGGUCUGGGCAAUCGCAGUUUGAAUCUGAAAGUUACAUAAAGAGUUGGAUGCAGAG
rnacentral:lncRNA from 1 species